AUGGAAAAGAAAAAGCCUGCUCAACGAUGACAUCUCGGUCAUUCAUACUAAAGAUAACUCAUCCAAAGGAAAGUACGUUUUUUCUAACAUGGAUGGCUUCAAGGAUCACACCUUGACCAUCUAUGACGUACAACCUAAAGACGCCGGCCAGUAUUAUUGCUGCAUCAAGAACAUCACAAGUCCCAGACCCCCCGAAGAUAUUAGUGACUGUCAGAUCUUUGAAGUCCAACCCCAACCCCUACUCCAAACCCAGCCCCCAUCCCCACUCACUACCCCACCUCCAGGUUCUGUAGUUGGCAAAGCAAGUCCCACGUUUUCCAUCAUUCUCCUCGUGCUGCUGCUUAAUUGGUUGCUGUAAUGAUCACGUGACUACUCACCAGGUCACGUGAUGCCUGAGGAUGGAAGUGUAUCCAUCAUUUGACCAAAACCUUCCUUGUCAAUAAGAUAAAGUGCACUCUUAUUCUUAGUGCUGAAUGGUAUUGAAUACCUUCAUUGUACUAGGGUAGCAUGGGUGGCCUCCCACCACUGUCGUCUGGGUUCGAUCCCAGGCUCAGACUGGAUAUUAAGUGAGUUGAGUUUGUUUGAUGUUGUGUUCUCUCUCUUGCCACGAGGGUUUUCUUCGGGAUCUCCAGUUUCUUCCCUCCGUAAAAAGCAAUAUGUGAGUUGAGUGUUGUAUGUUGUAAAUAUAGAAUGUAGUGGUAGUGCGUGUGGAGGGAACCUCACGGAAGAGCCCCGUAUGGGGAGUGGUGGUUGUAAAAUAUUAUUUAAUCUAAUUUAUAUAAGAUAGUUAACAGUAAUAUACUGUUUUAUUACUCGGGCUUUCGAAGAAAUGCCCGAGGUAUAAAUUGGGCUUCGUUAUUUUUUUUCUUCAGGCACAAAUCGCCCUCGAAACCCUAAGGUGCAUGCGUCAAAUCAAAGUCUAUGCGCAUGCGUAGAAUCAGCCAUGAGCACAUGCUUGAGUAAUGGCGGAUAUGGGGAAGGACUCGUCGCUGUUUCAAGUAAUGAAUAAUAUGGAGUCUUACACCCUCAACAUUUUUAGCACGCGUGAUUUUGCAUAGACUUUGCACCAUCUAAAAGGGUGACAAUGUUCACGACGAAGAAUUCUUUCGAUUUUCUGCUAUGAAGCCCGAGUUCACGCAGAUAUGCAUCUAGUCUUACUUUAUUCUGUAAACAAAAUGAAUAUGUUUGAGUUUUCAUUUGUGUGCUCCAACAAAACAAUAAAAUGGGAAAAGAUCUUA